AUUGAACGCUGGCGGCAGGCCUAACACAUGCAAGUCGAGCGGAUGAAGGGUGCUUGCUCCUGGAUUCAGCGGCGGACGGGUGAGUAAUGCCUAGGAAUCUGCCUGGUAGUGGGGGAUAACGUCCGGAAACGGGCGCUAAUACCGCAUACGUCCUGAGGGAGAAAGUGGGGGAUCUUCGGACCUCACGCUAUCAGAUGAGCCUAGGUCGGAUUAGCUAGUUGGUGGGGUAAAGGCCUACCAAGGCGACGAUCCGUAACUGGUCUGAGAGGAUGAUCAGUCACACUGGAACUGAGACACGGUCCAGACUCCUACGGGAGGCAGCAGUGGGGAAUAUUGGACAAUGGGCGAAAGCCUGAUCCAGCCAUGCCGCGUGUGUGAAGAAGGUCUUCGGAUUGUAAAGCACUUUAAGUUGGGAGGAAGGGCAGUAAGUUAAUACCUCGCUGUUUUGACGUUACCAACAGAAUAAGCACCGGCUAACUUCGUG
rnacentral:rRNA from 1 species